CCGGCACGGGUGAGUAACACGUAUCCAACCUGCCGUCUACUCUUGGACAGCCUUCUGAAAGGAAGAUUAAUACAAGAUGGCAUCAUGAGUCCGCAUGUUCACAUGAUUAAAGGUAUUCCGGUAGACGAUGGGGAUGCGUUCCAUUAGAUAGUAGGCGGGGUAACGGCCCACCUAGUCUUCGAUGGAUAGGGGUUCUGAGAGGAAGGUCCCCCACAUUGGAACUGAGACACGGUCCGA
rnacentral:rRNA from 1 species